GAUGAACGCUAGCGGCAGGCUUAAUACAUGCAAGUCGAGGGGCAGCAUGAUUGUAGCAAUACAAUUGAUGGCGACCGGCAAACGGGUGCGGAACACGUACACAACCUUCCAAUAAGUGGGGAAUAGCCCAGAGAAAUUUGGAUUAAUACCCCGUAACAUAACGAUGUGGCAUCACAUUGUUAUCAUAGAUUUUUCGCUUAUUGAUGGGUGUGCGGCUGAUUAGAUAGUUGGCGGGGUAACGGCCCACCAAGUCUACGAUCAGUAGCUGAUGUGAGAGCAUGAUCAGCCACACGGGCACUGAGACACGGGCCCGACUCCUACGGGAGGCAGCAGUAAGGAAUAUUGGACAAUGGACGCAAGUCUGAUCCAGCCAUGCCGCGUGAAGGAUUAAGGUCCUCUGGAUUGUAAACUUCUUUUAUAAGGGACGAAAAAAGGCUUUUCUAAGUCGUCUGACGGUACCUUAUGAAUAAGCACCGGCUAACUCCGUGCCAGCAGCAGCCGCCGUAA
rnacentral:rRNA from 1 species